rnacentral:tRNA from 1 species
GGGGGCGUAGCUCAGUUGGGAGAGCGUCGGCAUCGCAAGUCGAAGGUCAGGGGUUCGACUCCCCUCGUCUCCACCA